rnacentral:rRNA from 1 species
AGCUCCACUAGCGUAUACCAAUUUUGCUGCAGUUGAAAAGCUCGUAGUCGGAUUUGUGCGACGAGUCGUCGGUUCCGUACUGUGUACGGAGACCAGAUGACCUCGUUGCAUCCUCGGGUGGAACCUGUGUGGCAUUAAGUUGUCGUGCAGGGGAUUCCCGUCUUUUACUGUGAAUAAAUUAGAGUGUUCAAAGCAGGCUUACGCCGUUGAAUAUGCUAGCAUGGAAUAAUAAGAUAGGACUUCGGGUCUAUUUUGUUGGUUUGCGUACCGAAGUAAUGAUUAAUAGGGACAGUUGGGGGCAUUCGUAUUCCAUUGUCAGAGGUGAAAUUCUUGGAUUUUUGGAAGACGAACUACUGCGAAAGCAUUUGCCAAGGAUGUUUUCA